UAAGACGUAGGAGGCGAGCGUUAUCCGGAUUCACUGGGCGUAAAGCGCAUGUAGGCGGUUUGAUCCGUCCGAUGUUAAAGCCCCCGGCUCAACUGGGGGAGGUCAUUGGAGACUAUCAGACUUGAGGGCAGCAGAGGCACGUGGAACUCCCGGUGUAGCGGUGGAAUGCGUAGAGAUCGGGAAGAACACCCGUGGCGAAGGCGACGUGCUGGGAUGCCCCUGACGCUGAGAUGCGAAAGUGUGGGGAGCAAACGGGAUUAGAUACCCCGGUAGUCCACACUGUAAACGAUGAACCCUAGGUGUGGGGCGGUAAAACGCUCCGUGCCGAAGCCAACGCGUUAAGGGUUCCGCCUGGGGACUAUGAGCGCAAGCUUA
rnacentral:rRNA from 1 species